rnacentral:rRNA from 1 species
CCAAUAGCGUAUAUUAAAGUUGCUGCAGUUAAAAAGCUCGUAGUUGAAUUUCGGGACCAUCAUGUCGGUCGUGCCUCGGUACGUACUGGCAUUGUUGGUUUCUCCCUUCUGACGAACCAUGAUGUCAUUUAUUUGGUGUUGUGGGGAAUCAGGACUGUUACUUUGAAAAAAUUAGAGUGUUUAAAGCAGGCUCACGCUUGAAUACAUUAGCAUGGAAUAAUGAAAUAGGACGUUUGAUUCUAUUUUGUUGGUUUCUAGGAUCGACGUAAUGAUUAAUAGGGAUAGUUGGGGGCAUUAGUAUUCAAUUGUAAGAGGUGAAAUUCUUGGAUUUAUUGAAGACUAACUACUGCGAAAGCAUUUGCCAAGGAUGUUUUCAUUAAUCAAGAACGAAAGUUAGGGGAUCGAAGACGAUCAGAUACCGUCGUAGUCUUAACCAUAAACUAUGCCGACUAGGGAUCGGAUGAUGUUGAUUUUUUAAUGACUCAUUCGGCGCCUUACG